rnacentral:rRNA from 1 species
AUGAACGCUGGCGGCGUGCCUAAUACCUGCAAGUCGAGCGAACAGACGAGGAGCUUGCUCCUCUGACGUUAGCGGCGGACGGGUGAGUAACACGUGGAUAACCUACCUAUAAGACUGGGAUAACUUCGGGAAACCGGAGCUAAUACCGGAUAAUAUAUUGAACCGCAUGGUUCAAUAGUGAAAGACGGUUUUGCUGUCACUUAUAGAUGGAUCCGCGCCGCAUUAGCUAGUUGGUAAGGUAACGGCUUACCAAGGCAACGAUGCGUAGCCGACCUGAGAGGGUGAUCGGCCACACUGGAACUGAGACACGGUCCAGACUCCUACGGGAGGCAGCAGUAGGGAAUCUUCCGCAAUGGGCGAAAGCCUGACGGAGCAACGCCGCGUGAGUGAUGAAGGUCUUCGGAUCGUAAAACUCUGUUAUUAGGGAAGAACAAAUGUGUAAGUAACUAUGCACGUCUGGACGGUACCUAAUCAGAAAGCCACGGCGAACUACGU